rnacentral:rRNA from 1 species
UACGUAGGGUGCAAGCGUUGUCCGGAAUUAUUGGGCGUAAAGAGUUCGUAGGCGGUUCGUCGCGUCGGCUGUGAAAUCCCGAGGCUCAACCUCGGGUCUGCAGUCGAUACGGGCGGACUGGAGUUCGGCAGGGGAGACUGGAAUUCCUGGUGUAGCGGUGAAAUGCGCAGAUAUCAGGAGGAACACCGGUGGCGAAGGCGGGUCUCUGGGCCGAUACUGACGCUGAGGAGCGAAAGCGUGGGGAGCGAACAGG